AUGAACGCUGGCGGCGUGCUUAACACCUGCAAGUCGAACGAAGCACUUUAUUUGAUUUCCUUCGGGACUGAUUAUUUUGUGACUGAGUGGCGGACGGGUGAGUAACGCGUGGGUAACCUGCCUUGUACAGGGGGAUAACAGUUGGAAACGGCUGCUAAUACCGCAUAAGCGCACGGCAUCGCAUGAUGCAGUGUGAAAAACUCCGGUGGUAUAAGAUGGACCCGCGUUGGAUUAGCUAGUUGGUGGGGUAACGGCCCACCAAGGCGACGAUCCAUAGCCGACCUGAGAGGGUGACCGGCCACAUUGGGACUGAGACACGGCCCAAACUCCUACGGGAGGCAGCAGUGGGGAAUAUUGCACAAUGGGCGAAAGCCUGAUGCAGCGACGCCGCGUGAGCGAAGAAGUAUUUCGGUAUGUAAAGCUCUAUCAGCAGGGAAGAUAAUGACGGUACCUGACUAAGAAGCACCGGCUAAAUACGUG
rnacentral:rRNA from 1 species